rnacentral:piRNA from 1 species
AACAUGAUGUGCCAAUAGGCCUAAGCCUG